UGGACCCCCUAAGUGCCUCGUUUCACGUGAAUGCAGAGUCACUUAUAAGGACGGACAGAUCGGGCUAAAAGCGCAGCGGGAGGCUCUCUGUAGGGAUCCAGGAGGGGGUGAGGUUUGAUGGAAGAGCAAGAAGGGGAAUUGAACUCUCAACUUCAACUUUUUACAUGUUGCUGUGUUGAGGGCGGUCAGUGUGGUGACCUCUCUGCACUAGGAGGGGUCCGCUGGUGACCUCUGCAUCCCCUUCCAGCGGCAGCUCAAUGCAGACCAUUCAUGAGAGCAAGAAUGCACCUGACUCCUGAUCCUGCUUCUUUCAACAAAACACCUUUUGGCUGCAUAAACGUGAACGAACUGAUACGCUCUGGAGAAUAACAUAAACUUUCACUCUCUUGCAUCGCCUUGUGCAAACUAAAAGUCAGGACGGGAGUAGAAGGCACAAAGGGAAGGACAUGUUGAGGCGUGUCUCUAGGCGCUCAACCAAGUCAGCCUCUAAAUUAUUAAGCUCCCUUCGUACUUCAGCAUCUGGAUAUCAACACAAAAAACCCACUACGUUAACACCCCCUCUACUCGCCCAGCAGGACAGGGUAGGGAAGAAGAGGAGGUGAAGGAAAAGUGAACACGUUGUGUUUUUACAGCUGAGGUCGCUGAAGUUGGAUGUGCAGGAUCAGGCAGUGAGCAAAGGAUUGGUGGUGAUAUCUUCAGACAGCUCCCUGCCAAAAGGGAUCCAUCAGUCAACAGCUUGCUUUGUGUAAUCUGUACCAAUUGUUUGAUUGGCUGUUGAUAAGUGUUUUAGCAGUACUUAAACAAUAAGAUAU